UACGGAGGGUGCAAGCGUUGUUCGGAAUCAUUGGGCGUAAAGCGCACGUAGGCGGAUUGCUAAGUCAGGGGUGAAAUCCUGGAGCUCAACUCCAGAACUGCCUUUGAUACUGGCGAUCUUGAGUCCGGGAGAGGUGAGUGGAACUGCGAGUGUAGAGGUGAAAUUCGUAGAUAUUCGCAAGAACACCAGUGGCGAAGGCGGCUCACUGGCCCGGUACUGACGCUGAGGUGCGAAAGCGUGGGGAGCAAACAGG
rnacentral:rRNA from 1 species